rnacentral:rRNA from 1 species
GAGCACGUAGGUGGGUUUGUAAGUCAGAUGUGAAAGCCUUCUGUUCAACGGAAGAAUUGCAUCUGAAACUACAAACCUUGAGUACAGGAGGGGAGAAUGGAACUUCUGGUGGAGCGGUGAAAUGCGUAGAUAUCAGAAGGAACGCCGGCGGCGAAAGCGAUUCUCUGGCCUAUUACUGACACUCAGUGUGCGAAAGCUAGGGGAGCAAACGGGAUUAGAUACCCCGGUAGUCCUAGCCGUAAACGAUGGGCACUAAGUAGAGGGGUUUU